rnacentral:rRNA from 1 species
UCCUUUAACGAGGAUCCAUUGGAGGGCAAAGUSUGGUGCCAGCAGCCGCGGUAAUUCCAGCUCCAAUAGCGUAUAUUAAAGUUGUUGCGGUUAAAAAGCUCGUAGUUGAAUCUGUGUGUCACGAUGCUGGUUCACCGCUCGCGGUGUUUAACUAGCAUGCCGUGAGACGUCCUACCGGUGGGCUUAGCUCUUCASGGGGCGGUCCAACUAAUAUCCCAUCGCGGUGCUCUUCAUUGAGUGUCGAGGUGGGCCGGUACGUUUACUUUGAACAAAUUAGAGUGCUUAAAGCAGGCUAUCUUCGCCUGAAUACUGUGUGCAUGGAAUAAUGGAAUAGGACCUCGGUUCUAUUUUGUUGGUUUUCGGAACCCCGAGGUAAUGAUUAAUAGGGACAGAUGGGGGCAUUCGUAUUGCGACGUUAGAGGUGAAAUUCUUGGAUCGUCGCAAGACGGACAGAAGCGAAAGCAUUUGCCAAAAAUGUUUUCAUUAAUCAAGAACGAAAGUUAGAGGUUCGAAGGCGAUCAGAUACCGCCCUAGUUCUAACCAUAAACGAUGCCAGCUAGCGAUCCGCCGAAGUUCCUCCGAUGACUCGGCGGGCAGCUUCCGGGAAACCAAAGCUUUUGGGUUCCGGGGGAAGUAUGGUUGCAAAGCUGAAACUUAAAGGAAUUGACGGAAGGGCACCACCAGGAGUGGAGCCUGCGGCUUAAUUUGACUCAACACGGGAAACCUCACCAGGCCCGGACACCGGAAGGAUUGACAGA